UACUUACAUCAUGCAUUAGUGCGGUAAGCCGCGAAUGGCUCGGUAUAACAGCUGCAGUUUAUUAGACCAUAGUUUUCUACUUGGAUAACUGUGGCAAUUCUAGAGCUAAUACAUGCACGAAAGCUCGGACCCUCGCGGAAAGAGCGCAUUUAUUAGACCAAAACCAAUCGGGCGCUUCGGCGCUUGGUUUUUGGUGACUCUGAAUAACUUAGUUGAUCGCACAGUCUUAGUACUGGCGACGUAUCUUUCAAAUGUCUGCCUUAUCAACUUUCGAUGGUAGGUUAUACGCCUACCAUGGUUAUAACGGGUAACGGAGAAUUAGGGUUCGACUCCGGAGAGGGAGCCUGAGAAACGGCUACCACAUCCAAGGAAGGCAGCAGGCGCGCAAAUUACCCAAUCUCAGAACGAGGAGGUAGUGACGAAAAAUAACAAAACAGUCCACUCUGUGGCCUGUUAUCGGAAUGGGUACAAUUUAAAUCUUUUAACGAGGAUCUAUUAGAGGGCAAGUCUGGUGCCAGCAGCCGCGGUAAUUCCAGCUCUAAUAGCGUAUAUUAAAGUUGUUGUGGUUAAAACGCCCGUAGUUGGUUCUUCGGUCUCGAAGCUCGGUAGCUCGUAUGGGCUUAACUGGGUCUUCCGGCCUAAAUUUCUUGUACUCUCCCGAUGCUCUUUAUUGAGUGUCUCGAGAUGCUAGAACGUUUACUUUGAAAAAAUUAGAGUGCUUAAAGCAGGCUAUACGCUUGAAUAAAGUGCAUGGAAUAAUGGAAUAGGACUUUAGUUUUAUUUUGUUGGUUUUAGAAAUUAAAGUAAUGAUUAAGAGGAACAGACGGGGGCAUUCGUAUUGUUGCGUUAGAGGUGAAAUUCUUGGAUCGCAGCAAGACGAACAACUGCGAAAGCACUGUGCCAAGAGAAUGGA
rnacentral:rRNA from 1 species